rnacentral:rRNA from 1 species
GAUGGGUAGGGGUCCUGAGAGGGAGAUCCCCCACACUGGUACUGAGACACGGACCAGACUCCUACGGGAGGCAGCAGUGAGGAAUAUUGGACAAUGGGCGAGAGCCUGAUCCAGCCAUGCCGCGUGCAGGAAGACUGCCCUAUGGGUUGUAAACUGCUUUUAUACAGGAAGAAUAAGCCUUACGUGUAAGGUGAUGACGGUACUGUAAGAAUAAGGACCGGCUAACUCCGUGCCAGCAGCCGCGGUAAUACGGAGGGUCCGAGCGUUAUCCGGAAUUAUUGGGUUUAAAGGGUCCGUAGGCGGAUGAUUAAGUCAGGGGUGAAAGUUUGCAGCUCAACUGUAAAAUUGCCUUUGAUACUGGUCAUCUUGAGUUGUAUUGAAGUAGGCGGAAUAUGUAGUGUAGCGGUGAAAUGCAUAGAUAUUACAUAGAACACCAAUUGCGAAGGCAGCUUACUAAGUACUAACUGACGCUGAUGGACGAAAGCGUGGGUAGCGAACAGGAUUAGAUACCCUGGUAGUCCACGCCGUAAACGAUGGAUACUAGCUGUUCGGGACCUUGAGUUCUGAGCGGCUAAGCGAAAGUGAUAAGUAUCCCACCUGGGGAGUACGUUCGCAAGAAUGAAACUCAAAGGAAUUGACGGGGGCCCGCACAAGCGGUGGAGCAUGUGGUUUAAUUCGAUGAUACGCGAGGAACCUUACCAGGGCUUAAAUGUAGUCUGACAGCUUUAGAGAUAGAGUUUUCUUCGGACAGAUUACAAGGUGCUGCAUGGUUGUCGUCAGCUCGUGCCGUGAGGUGUCAGGUUAAGUCCUAUAACGGUGG